GGAACAUCUUUUUUAACUGUAAGAGUGACUUCUGUGGAGACUCUGUCAAUAGCCAGCACAUCAUCCGCUCCAUCAUCACAGGCUUCCACAUAGAACUUCUCUGGUGUUAUAUGCAGCUUCAGGUUGGCGUAGGACGCCGCCGCUGCCGGUCCCGCCGCCGCCAUCUGUAACCCUCCGGCCGCCGCCGGUCCCGCUCCGCUCCCCGCCGGCCGCUCCCUGCCUGCCUGCCGGGCUGACGCGUCCCGCCGGCCUGCGGCGACGGAUCCUCGCGCAGGACAAACCUCC
rnacentral:lncRNA from 1 species